AAAUACUUCACUUGCAAAACUCCAGUGUCUACUCAGAGAACUACUUCAAAUUCUUCUGGUACAGUAUACCUGUUGUAUUUCCCUUCUGCUUAAGUAAGGACACUGGGACUACACAGAGCAUUUCAGGCAUUGUUAAAGGAAAACCUUCAUCAACAGGAAUGACCAAGGAGAUGUCUAUCCUCUGGCCAAGCUGAAAAGACUGUUGGAGUGAAAUAUGACCAGCCAUUCUACAAUGUUUCUGCUGCUGGUCUGUCUACAUGCAGAAGCAUACUGUGGCCAGUGGAGCAUGUGCUUUUUCAGUGCAAAUUCAGAUUUCUGAAAAUUGCCUAGAUGAAAGAUUAGAGCAGAGAUGGUCAAUUUCCAUAUCCUGCAAGUUGAGUACCCAGAAGCUCAUUUGGCAAAGCACUGCACAAGAACGUGAGAAAUGA
rnacentral:lncRNA from 1 species